GAACGCUGGCGGCGUGCUUAACACAUGCAAGUCGAACGGUGAAGCGAGUGCUUGCACUCGUGGAUCAGUGGCGAACGGGUGAGUAACACGUGAGUAACCUGCCCAUCACUCUGGGAUAAGCACUGGAAACGGUGUCUAAUACUGGAUACGACCAACCCUUGCAUGGGGUGUUGGUGGAAAGAUUUAUCGGUGAUGGAUGGACUCGCGGCCUAUCAGCUUGUUGGCGGGGUAAUGGCCCACCAAGGCGACGACGGGUAGCCGGCCUGAGAGGGUGACCGGCCACACUGGGACUGAGACACGGCCCAGACUCCUACGGGAGGCAGCAGUGGGGAAUAUUGCACAAUGGGCGAAAGCCUGAUGCAGCGACGCCGCGUGAGGGAUGACGGCCUUCGGGUUGUAAACCUCUUUCAGCAGGGAAGAAGCGAAAGUGACGGUACCUGCAGAAGAAGCACCGGCUAACUACGUG
rnacentral:rRNA from 1 species